AGUGAACGCUGGCGGCAGGCCUAACACAUGCAAGUCGAACGGUAGCACAGAGGAGCUUGCUCCUUGGGUGACGAGUGGCGGACGGGUGAGGAAUACAUCGGAAUCUACCCUGUCGUGGGGGAUAACGUAGGGAAACUUACGCUAAUACCGCAUACGAACUGAGGUUGAAAGCAGGGGACCGCAAGGCCUUGCGCGAUUGGAUGAGCCGAUGUCCGAUUAGCUAGUUGGUAAGGUAAAGGCUUACCAAGGCGACGAUCGGUAGCUGGUCUGAGCAGAUGAUCAGCCACACUGGAACUGAGACACGGUCCAGACUCCUACGUGAGGCAGCAGUGGGGAAUAUUGGACAAUGGGCGCAAGCCUGAUCCAGCCAUGCCGCGUGUGUGAAGAAGGCCUUCGGGUUGUAAAGCACUUUUGUUGGGAAAGAAAAGCGGUCGGUUAAUACCCGGUCGUACUGACGGUACCCAAAGAAUAAGCACCGGCUAACUUCGUGCCAGCCGCCGCAGUAAAAC
rnacentral:rRNA from 1 species